AUUUCCUACUAUAGGAGGCAGACUCCAAAAUGACCCCAAUGACCUUGCUUUCUGGGUGUUCAUGCCCUUGUAUAAUCCCUUCCCACUGAGUGAGGGCUGAAUGACAGAUUUCCAACAACCAGAAUACAACAAAAGUAAUGGAAUGCCACUUCUCAGAUUAGUUGAAAAAAAAAGACUGUGAUUUGUGCCUCUUUUGUCCUCUUGCUCUCUCUCUCUCAGCCCUCACUAUUGGGAAGCAAGUUGCCAUCUUAUGAGCAGGGAGAGGCCCACAUCCCAAGGAGCUGAUGUUUCUGGCCAACAGCCAGUGAGGACCUGAGGCCUGCCAGGUCACAUGAGGGAGCCUGGAAGUGGGUCUUCUCAGUCCUGCCAACAGCUGUGAGUGAGCAUGGACGCAGAUCCUCUCCCAGUGGAGCAUUUGGAUGACCACGGCUCUGGCUAACACCUCACUUACAGCCUUGGGAGAGAUUCUGAGUCAGAGGCAUCCAGCUAAAUUGACCCACAGACACGGUAAAUCAGGGAUUUCUUCUUGGUUUGGAUCCACUGUUGAUUUUAGGUUACAAAAAGAUGGCAGAUUGCAUCUUGGGCACUCUCUUGUAUGACUUUUUGGAGAAGCCAGUUUUCAUGUUGUGAGAGGCCUGGCAGAGGGGCCCAAAUGAGUUCGCUGGGAAGCGGAUCACAGAAACCAUGAGGCCUAUAAAAGCCCCAGGCUCAGCCAGAGCAGAGCAGAUGAUGGAUGACCAGCUGCAGAGAAGAGCUACCCUUUCUGCUGACAGCAGAAGAUGUCCCAACAACCAGCAGAAGAGAGAAGCUAUCCAUUCUAGGGCCUCUUCUCUGCUGAGAGCUUCAGAAACCUGCAGAGACAUCGAGACUACCAGCUGCAGAGUGGAACAAUCCACUCCAGGGCCACCUCUCUGCUGAGAGCUAAGAAGACAAUGAGAUGACCUGCCUGCUAGGAGGAGCUUCCCUCUCCAGGGUCUCCUUUCUGCUAGGAGCUGAACUCUCAUUGGAACAUCCUGGCUGUGGAAAGGAGCUACCCUCUGCAGGUCUCCUGUGUGCUGUUCUAUUGAUCAAUAAAGCUCCCCUUCAUCUCGCUCAUCCUCCACUUGGCUCUGUACCUCAUGCUUCCUAGUUGCAGGACAAGAACUCGGGACCUACCAAAUGGCAGAGCUAAAAGAGCUAUAACACAGGACUGAAACAUGCCCCCUGCUUGCCACAUUGAGGGCAAAGAGAAGGAGAUAAGAUCUGUGCCUUCUCAGGCAGCCCAGACCUGGGAGCUCCCUGAGCCAGGGCUGUGACUCCCUCUUUGGGGUCCUGUGGUGCCUAGUAUCUCCAAGCUUCCAGGUGCCACUGCAUUUCCCGGUGCCAGCUGGGGAAGCUUCCUGCAGUGCACCUGGUCUGGCCACAGCCUCACAGAGAGUCAGUGCCUGUGCCAGCACCUGUAACUGCCCGCCCCAUUGCAGCAGCCGGCAUGUCCGAUUGCACACUGGCUGAACCCCAUGCUCCCUCACACACCCCUUGCCACUCCAUGCCUGACUUACCCUUGGCAGGUAUGGGAUCCAGGCCAGUAGUGUCAGCCAAGUAAAGCCUGCCAGGCCAGGUAGGCAGAACAAACCCAGCGGGCCUAAGCAAGACUUGGGCAAAGACAUCACCAGCCAGAAAAACAAUAUCCCAAGAAUCUUGUGACACUAGGCAUAGUGAAGUUCUUUAUUAAUUUGUAGAUUUUUAACCUGGAAAAUUCUAAUAUUUUCAACUAUUAAAAAAGAUAAUCCCCAAAAUAAUGCUUUAUUGUCAUGUAAAAUAUUAAAUAGAUUGUAUGUAACUUAGCUAUAUUAUUCUAAGAUAAAAUUCAUUAACUUGUCUUUAAGAAACUAGUUCCUAAAAUGCACUUUGAACUGUAUUUAUAAUCUCACUAGUCCUCUACUUAAUUAGGAAGUGGAAUAAAAUAUUUGAUAUAUUUUCUUUUUAUAUUUACAAAAGUCACCAUUUAAAUUCUUUGAAUUUUAACAUGUUAUACUUUUGGAGGAUCCACUGAGACACUAAAGUGGGUUCAUAAAGCCAACCAAACUGUGAUAGCACAGAAAUGUACUUCAGGAGCUGUUUAGGAGGAGAGACUUUUCUUUCUCCUCAAAGUGAUUCUCAAAUAGCAAUAGAGUCCUGGUGCAGUGGCUCAUGCCUACAAUCGAGCACUUUGGGAGGCCAAGGUGGGAGAAUUGUUUGAGCCCAGGAGUUCAAGAUCAGCAUAGGCAACAUAGCGAGACCUCAUCUCUACAAAAAAUACAGAAAUUAGCCAGGUGUGCCGGCAUGUGCUGUGUUUUUUGUCCAGCUACUUGGGAGGCUGAAGUGGAGGGAUUUCUUGAAACUGGGAGGUCAAGACUGAAGUAAGCCAUGAUCCUGCCACUAUACUCCUACAUGGGGGAAAGAGCAAGACUCUGUCUCAAAAAAAAAAAAAAAAAAAGAAAAAAAGAAAAAAAAGGCAAUAGAACUGUACCUUUGCUGUGAUGCUAGUCUACUACAAGUUGGCUUUUUUCUUUAAAUUUUGAAUUUUUCAUUUUCUUUUCUAGUUCUUCACCAUUUUGGUUCUGGAUAUAGUUUCCACUAGAAGAUGAUAAUGAUGAUAAUGAUAAUCCCCAUGCAUGCAUUAAUAAUUGGGAAUGUAAUUUUAUAAUCUGAACUUUAAAGACCUCUGUUAAGAUUAAAGGGAUUUCUUGUCCUUCAUAUGAGACAUGACAAGGAAUGAGAGUUGCAUUUUUUAAAUUCUUUGUUUCUCUAUUUGUGUAUCCAAAUAAUUUCAUAAAACAUUUUAUAACUACUAGAAGGGAAAAUAAUCCUUUGAAAUCUUGAACAGUGUAUUUUGGUGUUUCCUUGAUUACUUAAUCUGUUGCAGAGAUUGUUAUAAUUAAAGCUACAAUUUUCUCUGUGUUGCUAUAACUCAGAAGUCAUUCUCUCUCAUUCUGUAUGAAGUAUUUUCCUAAGAAGAGUAUUAAUAAAUAAAAUUUAGAAGUCUCUGAAUUUUAAGGAGCUAAGAUAUAAUUGGUUUACAUAGUAUAAGAAGUUCAUGAAUCUAUAGUAAUAUCUAAAGAAAACUUCAAAUGUACUAGUAAUUUAGGGAAAAAAUUCUUCUUAAAGGAUCUGCUAGCAGCUUAGAAAGAUUUUAAUUUACGAAUCUAAAUUCAUGCAAUAAAAGUGAAUCUUUGUAGACUAUGUGUUAAGCCACAAGACAAGCCUCAACAAAUUUUUAAAAAAUGAAAUCACAUCAACU
rnacentral:lncRNA from 1 species